rnacentral:rRNA from 1 species
AAGAACGCAGCUAGCUGCGAGAAUUAAUGUGAAUUGCAGGACACAUGAUCAUCGACACUUCGAACGCACUUGCGGCCCCGGGUUCCUCCCGGGGCUACGCCUGUCUGAGCGUCG